AUGGUCUUAGCUGUCAAAGGAUACACAGUGGACAUGAGGGUCCCAGUGCAGUUCCUCAGCUUCCUGCUGUUCUGGAUCUCAAGUGCAAGGGGAAAUAUUCAGAUGACCCAGUCUCCAUCUAUGUCUGCAUCUUUGGGAGAGAAAGUCUCCAUCUCCUGUAAGGCCAGUCAAGACGUUAACAGUUAUUUGAACUGGUAUCAGCAGAAACCAGGGGAAGCUCCUAGACUACUGAUCAAAUAUAUAUCCAACAUGCACUCUGGGGUCCCUUCCCGAUUCAGUGGCACUGGAUCUGGCAAAGAUUUCCAUCUCACCAUCAACAACCUAAUGUCUGAAGAUGUUGCCACUUAUUACUGUGAGCAGCGUCUGAGUUAUCCUACCACAGUAAUACAGGCCAUAACAAAAACCCCAGGGAUGAGCUGUAUGACUGUGCAGCUGCAGCUUCUCCUGCUGGUGCCUCCAGAUGCUGAGAAAGUGUCAUAUGCAGCCUCAUUGUGA